rnacentral:misc_RNA from 1 species
UCCCUGUUACCAGGGCAGUCUAAGUAGAAAAAUUCAACUACUUACAAGGGUUGCGCUCGUUGAAGGACUUAACCUAACAUCUCACGACACGAGCUGACGACGGCCAUGCAACACCUGUCACUUGGUUCCCGAAGGCACACUCUGCUUUCGCAGAACUUCCAAGGAAGUCAAGUCUGGGUAAGGUUCUUCGCUUACCAUCGAAUUAAACAACACGCUCCACCGCUUGUGCGGGUCCCCGUCAAUUCCUUUAUGUUUUAAGCUUGCGCUCGUACUCCACAGGCGGGAUGCUUAACGCGUUAGCUUCGCAACUUCGAGGGUCGAUACUCGAAACUGCUAGCAUCCAUAGUUUAGGGCGUGGACUAC